UUCAAUUUGCUGAGGUCCAAUUCAUCACAUU
rnacentral:piRNA from 1 species